UCGAGAAUCUUUCACAAUGGGGGCAACCCUGAUGGAGCGACGCCGCGUGGAGGAUGAAGGUUUUCGGAUCGUAAACUCCUGUCACCACAGAACAAUGGUGUUGAAACGAAUAAUUUUGACAUUUGAUGGUAUGUGGAGAGGAAGGGACGGCUAACUCUGUGCCAGCAGCCGCGGUGAUACAGAGGUCCCAAGCGUUGUUCGGAUUCACUGGGCGUAAAGGGUGCGUAGGGGGCCGGGAAAGUCGGAUGUGAAAUCUUACUGCUCAACAGUAAAAUUGCAUUCGAAACUCCUCGGCUAGAGGAUCGGAGAGGAAAGCGGAAUUCUUGGUGUAGCGGUGAAAUGCGUAGAUAUCAAGAGGAACGCCAAUGGCGAAAGCAGCUUUCUGGAAGACUCCUGACCCUGAGGCACGAAGGCUAGGGUAGCAAACA
rnacentral:rRNA from 1 species